UGGGGAAUAUUGCACAAUGGGCGAAAGCCUGAUGCAGCAACGCCGCGUGAGGGACGACGGCCUUCGGGUUGUAAACCUCUUUUAGCAAGGAAGAAGCGAAAGUGACGGUACUUGCAGAAAAACGCGCCGGCUAACUACGUGCCAGCAGCCGCGGUAAUACGUAGGGCGCAAGCGUUAUCCGGAAUUAUUGGGCGUAAAGAGCUCGUAGGCGGUUUGUCGCGUCUGCUGUGAAAACCCGAGGCUCAACCUCGGGCCUGCAGUGGGUACGGGCAGACUAGAGUGCGGUAGGGGAGAUUGGAACUCCUGGUGUAGCGGUGGAAUGCGCAGAUAUCAGGAAGAACACCGAUGGCGAAGGCAGAUCUCUGGGCCCGUAACUGACGCUGAGGAGCGAAACGGGUGGGGAGCAAACAGGCUUAGAUACCCUGGUAGUCACCCCGUAAACGUUGGGACUAGUUGUGGGGUCCAUUCCACGGAUUCCGUGACGCAGCUAACGCAUUAAGUUCCCCGCCUGGGGGAGUACGGCCGCAAGGCUAAAACUCAAAUGAAUUGACGGGGUCAUAGCUGUUU
rnacentral:rRNA from 1 species